AGUCGGGCGGGGAAGGUAGCUUGCUACCUGACCUAGCGGCGGACGGGUGAGUAAUGCUUAGGAAUCUGCCUAUUAGUGGGGGAUAACAUUCCGAAAGGAAUGCUAAUACCGCAUACGCCCUACGGGGGAAAGCAGGGGAUCUUCGGACCUUGCGCUAAUAGAUGAGCCUAAGUCAGAUUAGCUAGUUGGUGGGGUAAAGGCCUACCAAGGCGACGAUCUGUAGCGGGUCUGAGAGGAUGAUCCGCCACACUGGGACUGAGACACGGCCCAGACUCCUACGGGAGGCAGCAGUGGGGAAUAUUGGACAAUGGGCGAAAGCCUGAUCCAGCCAUGCCGCGUGUGUGAAGAAGGCCUUUUGGUUGUAAAGCACUUUAAGCGAGGAGGAGGCUACUUAUAUUAAUACUCUAGGAUAGUGGACGUUACUCGCAGAAUAAGCACCGGCUAACUCUGUGCCAGCAGCCGCGGUAAUACAGAGGGUGCGAGCGUUAAUCGGAUUUACUGGGCGUAAAGCGUGCGUAGGCGGCUUUUUUAAGUCGGAUGUGAAAUCCCUGAGCUUAACUUAGGAAUUGCAUUCGAUACUGGGAAACUAGAGUAUGGGAGAGGAUGGUAGAAUUCCUGGUGUAGCGGUGAAAUGCGUAGAGAUCUGGAGGAUUACCGAUGGCGAAGGCAGCCAUCUGGCCCUAAUACUGACGCUGAGGUACGAAAAGCAUGGGUGAGCAACAGGAUUACAUACCCUGGGUAGUCCAUGCCGUAAACGAUGUUCUACUAGCCCGUUGGGG
rnacentral:rRNA from 1 species